rnacentral:rRNA from 1 species
UACGUAGGGGGCGAGCGUUGUCCGGAUUUAUUGGGCGUAAAGCGCGGGCAGGCGGCCCGGUAAGUCGGCCGUGAAAGCGCCGGGCUCAACUCGGCGAGGACGGGCGAGACUGCGGGGCUUGAGAGAGGUAGAGGGCGGUGGAAUUCCGGGGUGUAGUGGUGGAAUGCGUAGAGCUCCGGAGGAACACCAGUGGCGAAGGCGGC